GGGGCAGUGGUGUUAACGGCUAACAUGGCGGCCUCCAAAGCCGCUGAUUCAGGUUCGAAUCCUGGCUGCCCCG
rnacentral:tRNA from 1 species